UACGUAGGGUGCAAGCGUUGUCCGGAAUUAUUGGGCGUAAAGAGCUCGUAGGCGGCUUGUCACGUCGGCUGUGAAAACCCGGGGCUCAACCCUGGGCCUGCAGCCGAUACGGGCAAGCUAGAAUUCGGUAGGGGAGACUGGAAUUCCUGGUGUAGCGGUGAAAUGCGCAGAUAUCAGGAGGAACACCGGUGGCGAAGGCGGGUCUCUGGGCCGAUAUUGACGCUGAGGAGCGAAAGCGUGGGGAGCGAACAGG
rnacentral:rRNA from 1 species